rnacentral:rRNA from 1 species
GAUGAACGCUAGCGGCAGGCCUAAUACAUGCAAGUCGAACGGUGUCUUCGGACAUAGUGGCGCACGGGUGCGUAACACGUAUGCAACCUACCUUACAUUGGGGGAUAGCCUUUCGAAAGGGAGAUUAAUACCGCAUAAGACAGUAGCUGGGCAUCCAGCAGCUGUUAAAGAUUUAUCGAUGUAAGCUGGGCAUGCGUCCAAUUAGCUAGUUGGUGAGGUAACGGCUCACCAAGGCAAUGAUUGGUAGGGGAACUGAGAGGUCAAUCCCCCACCCUGGCACUGAGAUACGGGCCAGACUCCUACGGGAGGCAACAGUAGGGAAUAUUGGGCAAUGGACGCAAGUCUGACCCAGCCAUGCCGCGUGCAGGAUGAAGGCGUUAUGCGUUGUAAACUGCUUUUAUACAGGAAGAAACGACUCUUGCGAGAGGCAUUGACGGUACUGUAUGAAUAAGCACCGGCUAACUCCGUGCCAGCAGCCGCGGUAAGAC